AACGAACGCUGGCGGCAGGCUUAACACAUGCAAGUCGAGCGCCCCGCCAGGGGGGCGUCAGACGGGUGAGUAACGCGUGGGAACGUACCUUUUGGUUCGUAACAACUCCGGGAAACUGGAGCUAAUACCUGAUAAGCCCUAACGGGGAAAGAUUUAUCGCCGAAAGAUCGGCCCGCGUCUGAUUAGCUAGUUGGUGAGGUAACGGCUCACCAAGGCGACGAUCAGUAGCUGGUCUGAGAGGAUGAUCAGCCACACUGGGACUGAGACACGGCCCAGAAUCCUACGGGAGGCAGCAGUGGGGAAUAUUGGACAAUGGGCGCAAGCCUGAUACAGCCAUGCCGCGUGAGUGAUGAAGGCCUUAGGGUUGUAAAGCUCUUUUGUCCGGGAAGAUAAUGACUGUACCGGAAGAAUAAGCCACGGCUAACUUCGUG
rnacentral:rRNA from 1 species